rnacentral:lncRNA from 1 species
UUCAAUAUAAUCCCAAGACUAAAUUAUUUAGCUACUCAGAAAAAAAGUAAAGAGAGAUAUACCAUAUGGGUCAACCAAAACAUUAAUUCUUCAACAAUAAAGUAUACACACUUACCCAAUUAGGGUUUCAAGCUUAGAAUUCAAAACUAUCUUAUGAGAUAAGCAAUACCCGAAGAAGAAAGGGCUUUUUCUUAUAUAUAAUUUGGGAUUAGUCCAUAACAUUUUAUAAUUCUUCCCUUGGGCUAGUUCCUGCUACUCCAUGAUCGUGUGUGUUUAACCGCAAUCAUGGCUAUGCGACAGCUGCUAGGUUCCAUGACCGCUCUUUGCUGACCAUAUGAACCAAAGUGACCACAGUCAUGGUAACCGAGGCUGACUGCUUCAGGUUUCUAGAUGCACUUCUUUUUCUUCUAUUUGCUUCCUUUUAGCUCUAUUCCAUAUAUUCUCACCUUCUUUACUUUAUAUCUGCAAAAUGUGGGUGUUAGUGCACUUAAAUUCGGAUAAUGCCUUAUUUUCUAAUACAAAACAUGGUAGUGUGGGUGUAUAAUUUGUAUGAAUGAGUGGUAGGAUUACUACUCAUAAAAUUUUUAGAUGGAAUUAUGGAGCUUAUUUUACUC